rnacentral:rRNA from 1 species
GGGGAAUAUUGGACAAUGGGCGCAAGCCUGAUCCAGCCAUGCCGCGUGAGUGAUGAAGGCCCUAGGGUUGUAAAGCUCUUUCGCCAGGGACGAUAAUGACGGUACCUGGAUAAGAAGCCCCGGCUAACUUCGUGCCAGCAGCCGCGGUAAUACGAAGGGGGCUAGCGUUGUUCGGAUUAACUGGGCGUAAAGCGCACGUAGGCGGACUUUUAAGUCAGGGGUGAAAUCCCGAGGCUCAACCUCGGAACUGCCUUUGAUACUGGAGGUCUCGAGUUCGGGAGAGGUGAGUGGAACUGCGAGUGUAGAGGUGAAAUUCGUAGAUAUUCGCAAGAACACCAGUGGCGAAGGCGGCUCACUGGCCCGAUACUGACGCUGAGGUGCGAAAGCGUGGGGAGCAAAC